rnacentral:rRNA from 1 species
UACGUAGGGUGCAAGCGUUGUCCGGAAUUAUUGGGCGUAAAGGGCUCGUAGGCGGUCCAUCACGUCGGGAGUGAAAAGCUGGGGCUUAACCCCAGUCCUGCUUCCGAUACGGGUGGACUAGAGGUAGGCAGGGGAGAACGGAAUUCCUGGUGUAGCGGUGAAAUGCGUAGAUAUCGGGAGGAACACCUGUGGCGAAAGCGGCUCACUGGACCAUAACUGACGCUGAUGCACGAAAGCUGGGGGAGCAAACAGG